rnacentral:rRNA from 1 species
CACGUAGGCGGUUUUUUAAGUCAGAUGUGAAAGCCCGGGGCUUAACCCCGGAAGUGCAUUUGAUACUGCCAAGCUUGAGUAUGGGAGAGGGAAGUGGAAUUCCUGGUGUAGAGGUGAAAUUCGUAGAUAUCAGGAGGAACACCGGUGGCGAAGGCGACUUCCUGGACCAAUACUGACGCUGAGGUGCGAAGGCGUGGGUAGCAAACAGGAUUAGAUACCCUGGUAGUC